rnacentral:rRNA from 1 species
CAGAGCCGCGGUAAUACGGAGGGUGCAAGCGUUAAUCGGAAUUACUGGGCGUAAAGCGCACGCAGGCGGUCUGUCAAGUCAGAUGUGAAAUCCCCGGGCUUAACCUGGGAACUGCAUUUGAAACUGGCAGGCUAGAGUCUUGUAGAGGGGGGUAGAAUUCCAGGUGUAGCGGUGAAAUGCGUAGAGAUCUGGAGGAAUACCGGUGGCGAAGGCGGCCCCCUGGACAAAGACUGACGCUCAGGUGCGAAAGCGUGGGGAGCAAACAGGAUUAGAUACCCGGGUAGUCUCUGUCUCUUAUACC